UACGUAGGGUGCGAGCGUUAAUCGGAAUUACUGGGCGUAAAGGGUGCGUAGGCGGGUCUUUAAGUCAGGGGUGAAAUCCUGGAGCUCAACUCCAGAACUGCCUUUGAUACUGAGGAUCUUGAGUAUGGGAGAGGUGAGUGGAACUGCGAGUGUAGAGGUGAAAUUCGUAGAUAUUCGCGAAGAACACCAGUGGCGAAGGCGGCUCACUGGCCCAUUACUGACGCUGAGGCACGAAAGCGUGGGGAGCAAACAGG
rnacentral:rRNA from 1 species